AAAAACUGCAAACUGAUGGCAGCCUUGGAACAAGCACUUGAGGAGUUUUAGGGUUGUUGAGGUUUUUUUAACUAUCUGCAGGAGAAGACAGAGCACCAAGAUGAGCAGCCAGUUUUCUGCAGAGCUCGUGUGCAGUGUCACACGAAUGCCAGACACUUUAUCCGAGAGCUAAACUCAAGCAGCUGCUUCCAGUUUGGGCUGUGUCCAUACACCUGAAGUGAGGAACAGUAAGGUCUCUCCUUUCUGCACCCCUUAAAGCAAUAAUGCGACAUCUAACAGC